rnacentral:rRNA from 1 species
CCUACGGGAGGCAGCAGUGGGGAAUCUUGCGCAAUGGGCGAAAGCCUGACGCAGCAACGCCGCGUGCGGGAAGAAGGCUUUCGGGCUGUAAACCGCUUUCAGCAGGAACGAAAAUGACGGUACCUGCAGAAGAAGGAGCGGCCAACUAUGUGCCAGCAGCCGCGGUGAUACAUAGGCUUCAAGCGUUGUCCGGAUUUAUUGGGCGUAAAGAGUUCGUAGGCGGUCAAGUAAGUCGGGUGUGAAAAUUCUGGGCUCAACCCAGAGACGCCACCCGAUACUGCUUAACUUGAGUUCGAUAGGGGAGUGGGGAAUUCCUAGUGUAGCGGUGAAAUGCGCAGAUAUUAGGAGGAACACCGGUGGCGAAGGCGCCACUCUGGAUCGAUACUGACGCUGAGGAACGAAAGCAUGGGUAGCAAACAGGAUUAGAUACCCUGGUAGUCCAUGCCGUAAACGGUGGGCACUAGGUGUGGGUUUCUAUUAACGAAAUCCGCGCCGUCGCUAACGCAUUAAGUGCCCCGCCUGGGGAGUACGGUCGCAAGACUAAAACUCAAAGGAAUUGACGG